rnacentral:rRNA from 1 species
CUACGGGGGGCAGCAGUGAGGAAUAUUGCACAAUGGGGGGAACCCUGAUGCAGCAACGCCGCGUGGAGGAUGACGCAUUUCGGUGUGUAAACUCCUUUUAUAUGUCAAGAAAAUGACGGUAGCAUAUGAAUAAGCACCGGCUAACUCCGUGCCAGCAGCCGCGGUAAUACGGGAGGGUGCAAGCGUUACUCGGAAUCACUGGGCGUAAAGGACGCGUAGGCGGGUUGGAAAGUCAGGUGUGAAAUCCUACAGCUUAACUGUAGAACUGCACUUGAAACUUCUAAUCGAGAGUAUGGGAGGGGGAGAUGGAAUUAGUGGUGUAGGGGUAAAAUCCGUAGAUAUCACUAGGAAUACCUAAAGCGAAGGCGAUCUCCUGGAACAUUACUGACGCUAAGGCGUGAAAGCGUGGGGAGCAAACAGGAUUAGAUACUGGUAGUC